rnacentral:misc_RNA from 1 species
UAUCUGAGAAGGUGCACAGAAAUAAUCAAAAAUGACUAUCUGUUGUCGGAUUUGUUUUGAAGAAAAUCCUAAGAAUUUCUGUCUCUACAAAUGUAUGAGAAAAAAAUAUUUGCCCAGUGUUAUUUUUAACAUCAGUGGAGUGAAAGUUACGAAAAAGCUUGAGCCAGAGGCACACAUUUGCCGUCGCUGUGCUGCAUCGAUAUUGGUUGCUGAAAAGAUCAUAUCGCGAUGCCAGGAAUCAGAAGAAUUUCUUCAGUUUCGUCGUUUAAAGGAAAUUUGCUUAUCAAGACAAUCUCCAACUCCGAAGACAGAAAGCUCUAACGUAGAAACAUAUGAAAAAUACCAGCCUGCUUCCGCUUGCAGUGAAUUGGAAGAAUCAUUACCAUUAGAACCAAAUGGUGAGCAUUUGUUACAAUCUGUCAAGCAACUUCAUAUAAUAAAAAAUGAAAAUACGAACAAUUCUAAACGGCUUGGAGACAACGAAAGUCAGUUCUCCGAUAAUUACGAACCAGCAGAAAAACGUUUAAAGAGUAAAGAAGUUACAUCAGUGUCCAGCUUUGAUUGCGAUCGAUGUGACUUCACUACCAAGAUAGGUAAACGUUUUAUAGAACACAAACAAAUUGAGCAUGGGGUGUACGAUCCAAAUAUCUAUACAUGUACUAUUUGUUCUGAAAGCUUUUCUUGGAAACCAACACUGUAUAGACAUAUAGAGAUAGACCACAAAAUACUACCUGCAGAUAAAAAACAUUUAUGUAAUGAAUGCGGUCGUGCCUAUAUGCGGGAAGUCCACUUAUUAGAACAUAUAAAGCAGCGGCAUGGACCGCGUUGUUUCAAAUGUCCUGAUCCACUAUGUGAGCAAUCAUUCACUCGAACGUUCACUCUUAGACGUCAUUUCAUCACUACACACACGGAACAAACAAGCUCACGUUAUCAUUGCGUAGAUUGUAAAAAAUACUUUAAGGUUUAUGAUCAAUGGAAAUACCAUAAUGAAGUUAUUCACAAAAAUGAAAUUGUAUACUGCCCACAUUGUGGCUAUCCUUUUCGCUUCAAAGAAAAGCUAGAUGAACAUAUUUUGAAGGAUAUAUGCAAACGUAGUAUUGUGCCAUGCUCCUAUUGCCAAAGACGCUUCACAACAAAAUGUGGAUUGAGAGAGCACGUGCGGAAUAUACACANCAUCUACUAGUUAAGAACGUGUAUUGAUUGCUUGGAAGCACCGAAAAAAAAAAAUAGCCAUAAUUUCUUUGCUUUAUAUUAAACCAUUAAUAUUUGGCUUUAUACCCAAAAAUAAUAAUAACCAACUGAAUAAGAGGCUCACUAAUUUGAAUAUAUGGCCCUUGUACUGAAAGUUUCCACUUUUUAAGGUUCUCACAGAAACAUGAUUUAAAACACAUGAACUUUUAUCCAUGCGCAGAAAAAAUUUCAAACUGGGAACAAUUUGACAUAUUUACGAAAGGCCUAAGCAAAACAAACCCGAAGAAUAACUGUAAAGGAAAACAGCAAAAUAAAAAUGCAGCCAGAUAAGAUGCAGCAACAAUUUCUUCUACACAAUAAUAUACAUAUGCAUAUUUAAAGCCAAAAACUUAAAGGACCUUUAACUAAGGACCUACAAAUAAUCAUUUGUAAAAAAGUUGAUACGAAUAGAAGAGAACUACCCACAAUAUACUAAGUAAAUGGAGCAGGCAGCAGCAUAACCAAAAAUAUAUAACCACAUACAUAAAUAGGUAUGAACAUACACCAUAUGCUCUUAUACAAUCAACAAAUCGAAAGCCAUAAGCCAAGUGUUAAUGUUCUUUAAUUAAAUUAUGAAAGAAGUGACGUAGCAGACUGUUAGAAUGGCGUUUAUUAUUUAUACAGCCAAACUGAAAGCGGUUGCCUUUUAUCGCAGAAUUUGUGAACAUAAUUCAACCGGAACAGUAUCACUCAAUUUGUAUUGAGAAUGCUUGUUUACUAUUUCAGUGCAUGUAAUUUUCGUUGCAAAAUUAAUUAUCAGCCUAAGAAGGAGUAGGAACACGGUGUUAUGUAGCAACCAAAUAAAAAGGAAUAACAUUUUUGAAAGCUCAGCUGCUUUUAUGGAAUUAUAUUAUUUAUAGAAUUAUUAUUAUUUAAUACGAAGAAAAGUGAAACGGAGAAACAAAG